UCGGAGUGCUGGGUGAAUAUGAUACAAGUACAAUGUGUGAGAUUCUCAAAGAAUGAAAGUAUGCUAAAAAAUGCCUCUCUACUAAUGGUCACUGUGAGUGCUGGAAAUCCUAGAGACCCAGCAACCUGGCAUUCACCAAGCAAUACUUGCAGCGCAUACAGAGCCUUGGAAGAAGGUAAAGUACUGGCGAGAAAUGCAGCCUGGAGAGGGAAAGGCAAAAGGAUUUGGUGUUUAUUGCCUCCAUCAAGAGUUUCCGAAAUUCAGCUUAAAAACAUUUUGUGA
rnacentral:lncRNA from 1 species